CGUAUGUAUACAUAUGCAUACACAUAUAUAUGUAGUUAAGUGUCUGGGAAAGGUUUUGGGGUUCGAGAGAGACUGAAAGAAGUUCAUGGGAAAAGUAGAAUUGGUCUAUAGCAACCUCCUUCUUGUCAUACACUUGUGAUCCUGUGUUUAUUAUUUUCUAUAGCCAGUGCUGGAAUAUACGGUGAUUGAAACUAUUAGAGAAAAUAAAGUGAGCUCCAGGUCUAAAUAUUUUAACGUGCAAAAUUAGACAAAUAAGAGAAACAGAGCAAGCCUUACUGCUGUUGUUUUGGGCGUGAGAGCAACUUUCUUGCAGGACGUUAUGGGCUCCCUGCAUGGUUAAGUGCUGUGUGGCUAAAACAUAGGCAGAAGCUGGGAGCUGAGGAGUCCUUCGUUGACUCAGCCACAGCCACCAGGACACACAGCGUCUGGUAGUCAGACUAAGACAGCCGUCAAAUAAAUGCCAUUUUAAAUUGGGCAAAGGAAUGAUGUGCAGAGGGUGUUUGGUUUUUUUGUAGGACCUGUUUUUUGUGCCUAAUGCUCUGUGACCACCACCAGGUCUGGGAUUUCUGCAUCUGUGCAGCACAUGGCCAUGUGUCACUUUGGACACGCUGCGUUGGAAAUUUCUCUCUCCUCUGUUUGUCUUCUUUGUACUUCCCUUCUUCUGACCUGGGACAGAAGUCUUCCAGGACUGUGCUGAGAUGCGUGCACACCGAGCGGUGUGUGUGUCAUGACGGUGGAUGGAGGAGGGAGGGAACCCACUGAGAUGCCUGAGCAUGGAAUCCAGGCUUCACACCUCCCAGACAGCCCCUUGACCUGCACGUCCUGGGCUGCUCUGCAGCACCUUGGGUCUCAGCCAGCCAGGUAUUGCAUCACUAUUAUUUUGGAGAAAAUAUUUUCCUACUAUCAAGAGGAGAUUUGGAUAGGAAAUCAGCACUGAUAUCCAGAGGUAGAUGCUAUUGUGAGCAACUGAAUGGAUCCAAGCACUCAUUCCUGGGCAUAUUUUAUUUUGGACUAAAUCAGAAAAAGAGGUUUAUUUGUGUACUUCAGUGAACACAUACUAGGUUUUAGGGAACUGCUAAUCUUUUGUUAAAAUUCAUGGUCUUCUGGGAUUACUUGGUUAUUCAUUACAGGUAUCAAAGCAGAAACUAAAUUCUGCUGUAUUGUGAAGCUUGGCUCAUUCAAUUGGAAAAAUCUUAAUGAUCAAGAGACCAUGUGUUUUUACUCAGAUAUGUUUUAUGACAUAGCUGUAAAAUCUUGUCUCAAAUAGACCUACCACAGCCUUGCAUUGUUUCACAGACAGUAAUAGGACUCACUUCUAAAAUGCCUUUGUAUUAAGUCAAAAAUACUGAUGAAAACUAGAGAGCUUCACACAGGAAUUAUUUAUGACUUUUUUAUUACUAACACAAGAUCUUAAAAAACACUGUGUGUUAGCUUGAAGUGUUAGCUUCAAGUCUGUAGAAAUUGUAGCAAUGGGUGUGUGACAGCCGUGGGCUGUUCAGAAGAGGCUGCCUGGGUCACUGUUAACAACUGUGCUUAAAGGGUUCUUCUUGGCACAAGAAAGUUCCAGAAGGAUGAAAGUGUGAUACGUUGGCUACCAAUCUAGAAAAAAAAAUUUUUCCAUAAUAUUUGAAGGGGGAAAUGGACUAAAUUGUGUUUUUGACUCAGACUGUCUUCCACAGAGAAAAAAAAGAAAGGCAUACCUUGAAAGUUGGAGAACUCUUGUCUUAAGGGGAAGAAGUUCUGUUAACUAUGACCACUUAAACAUACUAAUCAAAUAAAGGAUUAACAUGUAAUCAAGCUGCAUAUGACAUUUAAUAAAUGUGAUA
rnacentral:lncRNA from 10 species